GACGAACGCUGGCGGCGUGCUUAACACAUGCAAGUCGAACGGUGAACCUCUUCGGAGGGGUUCAGUGGCGAACGGGUGAGUAACACGUGGGCAACCUGCCCCCGGCUCUGGGAUAACUCCAAGAAAUUGGGGCUAAUACCGGAUGUUCACCGCUUCCCGCAUGGGUGGUGGUGGAAAGGGUUUCCGGCUGGGGGUGGGCCCGCGGCCUAUCAGCUUGUUGGUUGGGUAGUGGCCUACCAAGGCGACGACGGGUAGCCGGCCUGAGAGGGUGACCGGCCACACUGGGACUGAGACACGGCCCAGACUCCUACGGGAGGCAGCAGUGGGGAAUAUUGCGCAAUGGGCGGAAGCCUGACGCAGCGACGCCGCGUGGGGGAUGACGGCCUUCGGGUUGUAAACCUCUUUCAGCAGGGACGAAGCGCAAGUGACGGUACCUGCAGAAGAAGCACCGGCCAACUACGUG
rnacentral:rRNA from 1 species